rnacentral:tRNA from 1 species
GGUUCCACAGUGUAGCGGUUGGCACAUCUGCUUUACAUGCAGAAGGUCCUGGGUUCAUGUUCUGGUAGAGCCA